GCAUGGAUUUGGAUUUAUGACAGGCUCGUUCCCAUGGGCCUCUCAUAGUGUCCCAUGCUAGAGCAAACUGUGGCUCUUAACCAUUGCCCGUCCUCCGUGCCUGUAGACUGCUGGCAUUGAAGUGAGUCACACAGUG